GCCCACCUAUCUAAAUACUCCUUGCCUCUC
rnacentral:piRNA from 1 species